UAACAAGGAUUCCCCUAGUAACGGCGAGUGAAGCGGGAAGAGCUCAAAUUUGAAAUCUGGUAGCCUUCGGUUGCCCGAGUUGUAAUCUAGAGAAGUGUUUUCCGCGUUGGCCCAUGUACAAGUCCCUUGGAACAGGGCGUCAUAGAGGGUGAGAAUCCCGUCCUUGACAUGGACCCCCAAUGCUUUGUGAUACACUUUCAACGAGUCGAGUUGUUUGGGAAUGCAGCUCAAAAUGGGUGGUGAAUUCCAUCUAAAGCUAAAUAUUGGCGAGAGACCGAUAGCGAACAAGUACCGUGAGGGAAAGAUGAAAAGCACUUUGGAAAGAGAGUUAAACAGUACGUGAAAUUGUUGAAAGGGAAACGAUUGAAGUCAGUCAUGCUCUUUGGAUUAAGCCGUUCUGCGGUGUAUUUCAUUGAGCGGGGUCAACAUCAGUUUUGAUCGCUGGAAAAGGGCAGGAGGAAGGUAGCACUCUCGGGUGAACUUAUAGCCUCUUGUCGUAUACAGUGAUUGGGACUGAGGAACGCAGCAUGCCUUUUGGCCGGGAUUCGUCCACGUACAUGCUUAGGAUGUUGACAUAAUGGCUUUAAACGACCCGUCUUGAAACACGGACCAAGGAGUCUAACAUAUCUGCGAGUAUUUG
rnacentral:rRNA from 1 species